rnacentral:lncRNA from 1 species
UACCAGAGAGAGAAAAGAUAGAAGAGAGAGAAAGAAAGUUGAGAAAUGAAAAAAAUUGAGAAAAAAUAUAUAUAUCUCUUUGAGCCUGUGAUGUCAAACCCAUUGUUUUGGUAAACCAUCAAACAUUGUUUGCAUUAACCAGGAAAUUGAGCCUCAAUGGAUGUAGAAGAAUAUGCAGCCAAUAAGAAUUUUGGAAGAACAAUCAUUACAUCAUGUGAUUGAUAGUUGACAUUGUGAAGGAAGUGAAGUAAGUAGUGACAUAAUAUCAUAGUUGACUUUGUGCAUCAAUUUCCAAGAAACCUAAUGCAUAUACAAUUCAUGAAUGUCAACCUAGCAUGUGAUGAUACAUACUCCUACAUAAUGAUACAAGCAUCACAUGAACAAAAUCUUGCAGGCGGACACGUGGAACAGGAUCAUUGGGCAAAGACAAGCACAUGGUGGCAAUACACAAUUGGACAUGAGGCAAUGGUGUGAAGCAUUCAUUGGCCAAUUAAUUAGGGUUUUGCAUUAGGG